rnacentral:rRNA from 1 species
GAGGGGGCGAGCCUGAUCCAGCAUGCCGCGUGCAGGAUGAAGGCCCUCGGGUUGUAAACUGCUUUUGUACGGAACGAAAAGCCUGGGGCUAAUAUCCCCGGGUCAUGACGGUACCGUAAGAAUAAGCACCGGCUAACUACGUGCCAGCAGCCGCGGUAAUACGUAGGGUGCAAGCGUUAAUCGGAAUUACUGGGCGUAAAGCGUGCGCAGGCGGUUUUGUAAGACAGUGGUGAAAUCCCCGGGCUCAACCUGGGAACUGCCAUUGUGACUGCAAAGCUAGAGUGCGGCAGAGGGGGAUGGAAUUCCGCGUGUAGCAGUGAAAUGCGUAGAUAUGCGGAGGAACACCGAUGGCGAAGGCAAUCCCCUGGGCCUGCACUGACGCUCAUGCACGAAAGCGUGGGGAGCAAACAGGAUUAGAUACCCUGGUAGUCCACGCCCUAAACGAUGUCAACUGGUUGUUGGGUCUUAACUGACUCAGUAACGAAGCUAACGCGUGAAGUUGACCGCCUGGGGAGUACGGCCGCAAGGUUGAAACUCAAGAAAAUUUUGACGG